rnacentral:misc_RNA from 1 species
UCCCCGUUACCGGGGCAGUCUAGCUAGAGAAAUUCAACUAGCUAUAAGGGUUGCGCUCGUUAAUGGACUUAACCAAACAUCUCACGACACGAGCUGACGACGGCCAUGCAACACCUGUCACCGGGUUCCCGAAGGCACAGUCUCCUUUCAGAGACCUUCCCGGGAUGUCAAACCCUGGUAAGGUUCUUCGCUUACCAUCGAAUUAAAGAACACGCUCCACCGCUUGUGCGGGUCCCCGUCAAUUCCUUUAUGUUUUAAGCUUGCGCUCGUACUCCACAGGCGGGAUGCUUAACGCGUUAGCUUCGCUACUACUCGGGUCGAUACGAAUAACAGCUAGCAUCCAUAGUUUACGGCGUGGACUAC